UAACAACACCAAUUUUAUAAA
rnacentral:piRNA from 1 species